UACGGGGGGGGCAAGCGUUGUUCGGAAUUACUGGGCGUAAAGGGCUCGUAGGCGGCCAACUAAGUCAGACGUGAAAUCCCUCGGCUUAACCGGGGAACUGCGUCUGAUACUGGAUGGCUUGAGUUCGGGAGAGGGAUGCGGAAUUCCAGGUGUAGAGGUGAAAUUCGUAGAGAUUGGGUGGAACACCAGUGGCGAAGGCGCCUGUCUGGCUGACAACUGACGCUGAGGUGCGAAAGCGUGGGGAGCAAACAGG
rnacentral:rRNA from 1 species